rnacentral:rRNA from 1 species
UACGAAGGGAGCGAGCGUUGUUCGGAAUCACUGGGCUUAAAGCGUGCGUAGGCGGAUUGGUAAGUAAGAAGUGAAAUCCCAGGGCUUAACCCUGGAACUGCUUUUUAGACUGCCUGUCUGGAAUUCGGUAGAGGUUGGUGGAACUCCUAGUGUAGAGGUGAAAUUCGCAGAUAUUAGGAAGAACACCGGGUGGCGAAGCGACCAACUGGACCGAUAUUGACGCUGAGGCACGAAAGCGUGGGUAGCAAACAGG